UCCGCGCGUGCGCAGUGUCGUUCGCCCCGUGGUCUUCUGGGCCCAAGUAGGACAUGGUGCUGUCAGAGUUGGCCGUGCGCCUCAACUGUGCCGAGUACAAGAACUGGGUGAAGGCGGGUCACUGCCUGCUGCUGUUGCGCGGCUGCCUGCAGGACUUCGUCGGCCGCGAGGUGCUCUCCUUCCACCGCGGCCUUCUCGCCGCCGCCCCCAGCCUGGGCCCCCGCGCCGCCUGCCGCAGCGGCUCGCGGUGUAGCCCACGCGCCCGCCAGUUUCAGCCUCAGUGUCAGGUGUGCGCAGAGUGGAAACGGGAGAUUUUGGAACAUCACACCAACAGAAAUGGGGACGUCCACUGGGGAAACUGCCGGCCGGGCCGGUGGCCCGUCGACGCCUGGGAGGUGGCCAAGGCUUUUAUGCCCCGAGGACUGGCAGAUAAAGCAGGACCUGAGGAAUGUGAUGCAGUUGCUCUUUUAAGUCUCAUCAACUCCUGUGAUCACUUCGUGAUUGAUCGAAAGAAAGUCAUAGAGGUGAUUAAGUGUCGUAAUGAGAUCAUGCACUCUUCAGAGAUGAAAGUAUCUUCUAUGUGGCUUCAAGAUUUUCAGACAAAGAUCCAAAAUUUUCUGAAUGAAUUCAAGAAUAUCCCAGAGAUUGUGGCAAUGUACUCCAGAAUAGAACAGCUCUUGACCUCUGACUGGGCUGUUCACAUCCCUGAGGAAGAUCAGCGAGAUGGAUGUCAAUGUGAAACAGGAGGCUACCUGAGUGAGAGCCAAAUAAAUGAAAUAGAAAUGGAAUUACUAAAGGAGAAACUUGAAGACAUAUAUCUUCAAGCAAAAGACCAAGAGGUGUUGCCUGAAGAGAUCUUAAAUCAACUGGAAGUGGUGAAAGAAUUUCUGAGAAACAAUGAGGAUCUUAGAAGUGGUCUUACAGAAGAUAUGCAGAAGCUAGACAGCCUCCGUCUACAGCAUCAAAAACCAGAUUCAAAGGAACCUGGGACACAGACACCUAAAGGGAAGGCCUGAGGUGGCCCUUAGCAGUGAUCAGGCAUAUUCUGUCAGAGCCAGCACAGCUUCCAUCUGAGCCAUCCUCUCCUGUGCAUGAGGAAAAACUUACCGGAGUAUGUACCCAAACAAAAAGGAAUUUCUUCCUGAACUUUCCUUCAACUCUUGGGACUAUUUUUUUAUGUUCAUAAGCUUGGUGUUUUGUGAUCCGUACCAAUCAAAAAAUAUUAGGUGCUCUUGUACCAAAACUUGCUGUCAUCCAGGGUUUUUUGUUUUUUUCCUGUUUAAAUGGCAGGAUUCUUUUCUGUUCCUAAAUUCCAGCUGCUUAGCAUAAGACUGUGUUUGGCCAGGUCUGUGGAAGAAGUUCUCUGCCCACUGGCACACAACCUGCUUUCUUGAAGGUCUCAUUCAUGAGAAUGUCCAAGGGGUGGGCUGUGAUGUAAAUGUUGAAAUAUAAAUCCUUUCUUGGAAGAAGGCCAAAAAAAAAUUGAGUGAAAGGGCGUUUUCUAGCCAUUUCCAAUUAGUGCAGAACUGUUACUACCCAUUGCUGGUGGCCUGGGGAAGUAGGAUAAGGAGGUGGGGCCGGGCUGGUCACUGGGAGCUACAGAACUGACUCCACUAACUGGGGGAGGGGCAGGGCGGGGGGCUGGGCCAGUUCCAAAAGCAGGGAUGUCAGGGAAAGCUCCAAAGGUGUUGGCUUGUGGAUGGCACUCUUGUAAAAAGUAAACUCCCACGGCAGUCAGAGCUCUGUCUGCUCAGCUGUAUCCCAAGUGCUGAGCAUGGGCCUAGCCCUGGGUGCUCUUUGAAUAUUUGUUGACUUAAAGGGUCAACUGAUAGCUUAGGGUUUUUCACAGAUACUUAGUUAUACUAUUAAAUAAACCUGGUCCUUCAUUACUAGAUUAUGAAAUUUCAACAUUCUUAUGGAAAUCAAAGACGUGAUUUUAUUUAAAGAAAUUCACAAAUUCAUUCUUAACUCUGUUCUUUUACCCAAAAAGCCAUCCACUGCUGACUUUGUCCUGCUUGUUUCCUGAACUGAGAAACCAUUGUCCCAUUGUGUGCAGUGGUUUUUGGGGUCGGACUCAUCCUCAACUGUCCUCUACAUCGGCUCCUUCCCAAAGCCAGUGGUACUUAAUUGGGCCAUGUUGCCUCUGGAGCUUCAGGCCCAGAAUUGGCACGUCCCUCACUGCCUGGAGGAAGCACUUCCAUCCUGAGCCCAAGCCAUGCUCCCUGGCUUGCCUGGCCACCCAUCAAGGAUGUGAUCUGUGCCGAAUGGGUGGAGGGUAGGGUAUAUUUGGUGUAUCUUUACAUUAAAAUCCAUUUAAUAUAAUUCUGUAAAACCUGGAUGAAUGCAGAUGUGCCCAUAACUUCCGGCUUUAAUCUUUUCCAUUACUCUUUGGUCUUUAAUCUUGUAUUUCCUUUCACUCUUCAUUUCAUGGCAUUCCUUUAGAAGACUUCCCCCAAACCAAGAAAUGUAAUGAAAUAUUAACUAGCGUCUAGAUAAAAGGUAAAAACUUGGGAUCAAAUUAAAUCUUGAUUCACUAACCAAUUUAAGACCUGAUUUUUAACUUCAGGAACUUUGAGGUUAUGAACACUUUGAUUUCAUACCUCUUGUGUCUACUUAGCUCUUCCUUGUCUAGCCAACAAACAUUUAUCGAGUGUCAGCCACAUGCUGUGCCAGGCACUGAAGCAGAUGCAAACAUGAGGAUUUGUAAGGUAUGGAUGAUGGUAUCCACACUGUCAUCUUACUGGAUUUAUUGUCUGCCUGAUAAAGAUACUCUUCAGAAAACAUUAUACUGGCAAUAUUUAAUUACAGUGAAACUGGAGCAAAGAAAGGAAGACAUGACCAGAGAGGGCUUUGAAGCAAAUGGAGCCAUACAGGACCUCUCUUCCACAGCUAUGUGCAUGUGGGCACAGGGUGUGCACAAACAGGUGUUCACAGCAUUGGCAGCCAGCCAUCAAGAGAAGACUGGUUAAAUCAGCACAUCCAUGCUACAGAGUAUUAUGAAAUUGUUAAAAGGAAUGAGAAUGUGAAAUGCAGAAACUGCCUCCAAGAGGACUACCGCUUAGAUGCCACAGAAGAUAAAGGGGAAUCUUCCAGAGUUCCCCUAAUGUGCUUGUCUUAUCCAAGAUCUGAUGUUUCCAGAAUAUCUUUCAGAGCAUUGUUUUCAAUGUCUUUGCAUUUGCAAUCUUUAACAAAAGCAGAAACACUCUUAAAUACAUACAUGGGGGCUCCCCAGCAGACCACUCUGGAACUUCCUGCAUCCUCCAGAGGAGGGGGAGAUUUGGAGUCAAAUCAUAGAGGGCAGAUUCUGCCACAGAGAUAACGGCCUCACACCCACAGCCCCACCCUUUUCUUUUACUUCCCUAUGCUCCCUGGUUUAAGAAAAGUUCUUAGCACCCACAGGAUUCCUAGGACACUCUGGGCUAAUACUGUUGGCCACUAACCCUCAUUCCCACCCCUAGCUAGUGUUCAACAGGAUUAACCCAGUUUUACAAACUGCCAUUUCCCCCAUUUUUAGGUGUGAGGAAAAGAGGAAAGGAUUAUGACUGUCUUUUAAUUAUUUUCUAUUUACCUAGAAUCCCAGUUUGACAUCAACUGACCUGGGAGUUGUUACCAUGGAAGAUUACAUAAUUACUCUGCCUAACAAAGAGAUUCCAGGUUCUCUUAAUAAAUGCUCCUUAAAAGUCUAAGCUGGAUUUCACUGAAUUCAUUUAAACCCACUUCAAAAUAUUUCCCUCCAUAGAAAGAGCCCCUGGACUUAAUUAUUUUUUUUUUGGUGUAGAGGGAUUUAUGGCUGUACCAAGUUUUAAAAAUCACAUGCUGCUAAGCACCCUCACUUGGCCCAGAUACCCAAAACAAGUAACAAAAUGUUCCCAAGACAGCUUUAAGAAAAAAGGGGAGUUAAAUAAUUUGAAGUGUCUUUCACUCAGUCUUCCCUAUAUACACUAAUCGGGAAAUUGCAGGUCACGUGAAGGGGAAGAUCAGCCAAUCUAUAAUCACCUUCUAAAAAACAUUUUUGCAGCUCACAAA